rnacentral:pre_miRNA from 1 species
CGUCCCUACAGUUUUGUACUAUUCAUGUCUAAUGUUGAUUGUCCGUCUUAUUUGAAAAUUUUUUAUGAUUAGUAUUUUUGUUAUUAUUAUAUAGUACUUUAGUAUUUUUGUUGUCAUAUUUUUUUCAAAUAAGAAGGGUGGUCAAAAGUUAGACACGAAAACCCACGGCUGCAAUUAUU